UACGAAGGGGGCUAGCGUUGCUCGGAAUCACUGGGCGUAAAGGGUGCGUAGGCGGGUCUUUUAAGUCAGGGGUGAAAUCCUGGAGCUCAACUCCAGAACUGCCUUUGAUACUGAAGAUCUUGAGUUCGGGAGAGGUGAGUGGAACUGCGAGUGUAGAGGUGAAAUUCGUAGAUAUUCGCAAGAACACCAGUGGCGAAGGCGGACUCACUGGCCCGAUACUGACGCUGAGGCACGAAAGCG
rnacentral:rRNA from 1 species